rnacentral:lncRNA from 1 species
UCUAUUCAGAGGGUCUGGUAACUCCACAGUCCUGGAGAUGGUGUCUGGUAACUCCACAGUCCUGGAGAGAUGGGUCUGGUAACUCCACAGUCCUGGAGAGAGAUGGUGUCUGGUAACUCCACAGUCCUGGAGAGAGAUGGUGUCUGGUAACUCCACAGUCCUGGAGAGAUGGGUCUGGUAACUCCACAGUCCUGGAGAGAGAUGGUGUCUGGUAACUCCACAGUCCUGGAGAGAGAUGGUGUCUGGUAACUCCACAGUCCUGGAGAGAGAUGGUGUCUGGUAACUCCACAGUCCUGGAGAGAGAUGGUGUCUGGUAACUCCACAGUCCUGGAGAGAGAUGGUGUCUGGUAACUCCACAGUCCUGGAGAGAGAUGGUGUCUGGUAACUCCACAGUCCUGGAGAGAGAUGGUGUCUGGUAACUCCACAGUCCUGGAGAGAGAUGGUGUCUGGUAACUCCACAGUCCUGGAGAGAUGGUUGGUAUUUAGGCCAUUGUAUUUGAAAUCAGAUGUGUUAGUGCUGGGCUGGGACAAAAGCCUGCACAGUCAGAAGCUCUGGGCCAUACAGACACAGACAACCCAUUUUUCAUAUCAUCAAAGACGGUCACAAACUUUACAAGGACAAGUUAGGAAACCGUGAGAUAGUUUAUUAUACAAUGGUGGUUAAAAGCUGAACAAGAAAGUUAUGAAAUAACAGGUGUGACUGGUAGUCAUGACAACAUCACUAACAGAGUGACCCAACUAGGACAGAUAUACUAACACAGUGACCAAACUAGGACAGAUAUACUAACAGAGUGACUCAACUAGGACAGAUAUACUAACAGAGUGACUCAACUAGGACAGAUGUUCUAACAGAGUGACUCAACUAGGACAGAUGUACUAACAGAGUGACUCAACUAGGACAGAUAUACUAACAGAGUGACCCAACUAGGACAGAUGUACUAACAGAAGUGACUCAACUAGGACAGAUAUACUAACAGAAGUGACUCAACCCAGAUGUUGGUUUCGGGUUUCAGUGAUUAAAGAUGCAGAAUGACACCAGGUCGGUUACCGCGGUGAUGAAGGAUGAGUCUCCAUCUUUAAACCCUGUGGUCCUCAUCAGUCUAAUAUUCCAGGUUUUCUGGGUGAAGUCUCCAUCUUUCACCACGUCUACAUUCAGGUUAGUUCCUAACUAAUUAGUGACUUUAAAUUCAUCAAAUCAAGUACAAGGGUGGAGUGAAACACACCCC